GACGUAGGGCGCGAGCGUUGUCCGGAUUUAUUGGGCGUAAAGAGCUCAUAGGCGGCUUGUUGCGUCGACCGUGAAAACCCGGGGCUCAACUUCGGGCUUGCGGUCGAUACGGGCGGGCUAGAGUUCGGUAGGGGAGACUGGAAUUCCUGGUGUAGCGGUGAAAUGCGCAGAUAUCAGGAGGAACACCGGUGGCGAAGGCGGGUCUCUGGGCCGAUACUGACGCUGAGGAGCGAAAGCGUGGGGAGCGAACAGG
rnacentral:rRNA from 1 species